AUUCAAUUAGUUAAUGUGUUAAAAGAUGGCGACUUUUGCCAACCACCGAAAAUGACGGGGGGGGGGGGGGGGGGCAAGCGGGCUUAAAAGGGGAGGGGGUACACAUUAUUUUUCCUUGUUUUCCUGCCCUUUCACCUUUGUCUUUCAAUU
ensembl:ncRNA R08B4.12 ncRNA